AGAGUUUGAUCCUGGCUCAGAGCGAACGCUGGCGGCAGGCUUAACACAUGCAAGUCGAGCGGGCGUAGCAAUACGUCAGCGGCAGACGGGUGAGUAACGCGUGGGAACGUACCUUUUGGUUCGGAACAACACAGGGAAACUUGUGCUAAUACCGGAUAAGCCCUUACGGGGAAAGAUUUAUCGCCGAAAGAUCGGCCCGCGUCUGAUUAGCUAGUUGGUGAGGUAAUGGCUCACCAAGGCGACGAUCAGUAGCUGGUCUGAGAGGAUGAUCAGCCACAUUGGGACUGAGACACGGCCCAAACUCCUACGGGAGGCAGCAGUGGGGAAUAUUGGACAAUGGGCGCAAGCCUGAUCCAGCCAUGCCGCGUGAGUGAUGAAGGCCCUAGGGUUGUAAAGCUCUUUUGUGCGGGAAGAUAAUGACGGUACCGCAAGAAUAAGCCCCGGCUAACUUCGUGCCAGCAGCCGCGGUAAUACGAAGGGGGCUAGCGUUGCUCGGAAUCACUGGGCGUAAAGGGUGCGUAGGCGGGUCUUUAAGUCAGGGGUGAAAUCCUGGAGCUCAACUCCAGAACUGCCUUUGAUACUGAGGAUCUUGAGUUCGGGAGAGGUGAGUGGAACUGCGAGUGUAGAGGUGAAAUUCGUAGAUAUUCGCAAGAACACCAGUGGCGAAGGCGGCUCACUGGCCCGAUACUGACGCUGAGGCACGAGAGCGUGGGGAGCAAACAGGAUUAGAUACCCUAGUAGUCC
rnacentral:rRNA from 1 species